CGUGGGGACCAGAGGGGAGUAGGCCGCCGGCCAGUAAAGGAGAGAGAGAAAAAAAAUAUGAACCGAUAAAAUGGCAACGAAAUACGAACGAAUCCCGAACACAAAAUCCGAACCACGCGUGACACGCGGAAGAGCGAUCUGGCCCAUUCGGUGCUCGGCACAAAAACCUCCGAUGGGUGGUUGGCGCCUGUUUUAGAAAAUCCGAACCGCUCCGAGAUGAUUGAAUGACGAUGCUGCUCACGUUGAUGAUGAUGAUGAUGAUGAUGAUGUUGGAGCAGCAGUUUUCCAGCGCAGUUUCGCAGUGUAUAGAGCAUCGUGGACGACCGUACAACCAGUCAGUCAGCUGCCGGCAGUCAGCGUGUGCACAACACCACCGGUCAUCAUCGUCGUGUGGUUGUCCUCUCCCCCGGGGGGAAGAAUAUACGCCACGACCGCAGCACCAACCACACUCGAAGUUUUGUUCCUCAGUUGCUCAGUGAUCGGUGUGAAGUACAUUUGAUUGGAUUCGUGACCCGGACUGUGACACGUCAUUUACACCACGUUCGUCACGCACGCAUCGCAACCCCGUUAGCGCCAAAUGACUUUACGGUAACGGAUGUGUAUUCAAAAACUGCGUAUUCCCCCACACAGCACGUUCGACGGGCAAUGUAUUGCUUGAAACGUGUCCUGCCAAACGGCGUGUAGUGCCCUAACAUUCCGUCAGAUUCAUCCAUCGUGAUCACAAGUUGCUCUUGAUUUUUUUUGUUCUUCUUCUGUUUGCUGGAUUUAUUCCACGCUCUGUAGCUCUGACCAAGUGGGCGAGUAUCGGUGUAAGAAGGGAUAGUGAGAUUUCUCAUUACAAAUCUCGAGUGUGCUAUAGUGAAGCGAACAACCAAAUAAAAAAAAACACUCCCUCCCAAAUCUACAUACCCGAGUACGUCCGCGAGUACGAUUAAGUGAAAGUGGAGGAAGAAUAAAAAAGGCAAACCCAAAGCCGAAAGUGAGAAAGUGGCCGGGAAAAAAGGGGUUUUUGCAACAACGAAAAAAAAGUUGUACCUCAAAGUCAGCUAUCCUUGAUAUGGACGAAACGCGAGCAUUGCGUGUGAACCCCGUGCAGUAGACAACGAACAAAAGUGUGAAGAUAGUCAGCAACAUUUGCAAAAAAAAAAUAAAACAAAAAAAAAAUGUUUCGCUGGUCAAUUGCAGUGCAAGCACCCACAACGGUGUAAGUGCACCGAAACGAACCCCGUUGCGGACUUCAUUUGCAGACGUGUGCGAAACGAAAAAGUACAAUUCUGGGAGGGGAAAAAAAGAGAGAUCAAGUCUGUAAUAGUGCAAGUAACAAAAAAAAAGUAUAGUUAACCUGAAGGGUGUAAUCAAAAGAAGAAAAAAAAUUAUUCCCACACACACAAAAAAACACACACAACGAACGAUCGUGUCCAUUAGGGUAGCUUUCUUUACGAGUUCUAUGAUACAGGAUUCGCGGGACCAGUAGUAGUUGUGCCGCCAACGAAUGGAUAAAGUCGAUCCGAUGCAUACAGGGAUGUAUCAUACCCGCUGAACUUCUGGACUUUCAGUAAUUGAAGGUGACUCAAACCAGUGUGGAAAGUCUAGACGCAAAACGCAAGCAGCAAAACCACUCCGAUAGCGUCGAUAAACAAGAAGGACCUACUUUACCUCAAAGUGUUACCGUGAUUGCAUCGUAUCGUAAAGUUUUGCAGAAAUCACUCACCCAGAAGUAGUGAGUCAGUCAGCGGGUCCUAACUAACUCUAACACCCUUAGCAACUGACCACUAGCUGCAGAGACCGAACCGGGUUUGGAAGGACAACCGUCGUACAGUGUGAACACCAGCCACGAAGUGUGUGUGUGUUCCAAAAAUUCCAUAGAUAUGGUCCGCCAUGGUGUCAACAAUCGGUGGCCCUUCUACUGUCGCUGCUGCUGCUGCUGCCGCUGUUGCCGGUGCUGCGGGUGCGGCAACCACCAUUAGCACCGCUACUGAUGCGACACAACUGUUCAUCAACACAACGCUUGACUCAUGUGCCCUUAAAUAUGAAGAGUUCGUUAUACCGACUACAGUUCCUUACUGCAACUGGACCUGGGAUAGCAUACUAUGUUGGCCACCAACGCCAGCCAAUUUGACAAUAAGACAGCGAUGCCCUUCAGGACACGGAAUCGAUACCUCAAAGUUUGCCGAACGACGAUGCAGUGCCGAGGGGCAAUGGGAAGGCAGACCGGGCUCACCGCCAAACCUUCACGGAUGGACCAACUAUACGCCCUGCUACAGCCCGGAAGUUAUACAACUGUUUAGAAAGCUUUACGCCGGCGGUAGCGAUGAUGAAGCGAAUGACAAGAUCGACAUUGCCGAGCGGACGCGUACACUGGAAACGGUGGGAUUUAGUCUUUCACUAGUAGCGCUAAUCAUUUCGUUAGUAAUAUUUUGUAAAUUUCGCGGUCUUCGCAACAACCGGACGAGAAUACACAAAAAUCUGUUCGUUGCCAUGGUGAUACAGGUGGUGAUCCGCCUAACCUUAUACAUCGACCAAGCGAUCAUCCGGAGCGGUGGCAAAAAGUUCGGCAACGAAAGCUCCCGGCAAGGAAUCGAUAACACGCCGUUCCUUUGUGAAGCGUCGUACGUGCUGCUGGAGUACGCCAGGACCUGCAUGUUUAUGUGGAUGUUUAUAGAGGGAUUAUAUUUACACAACGUAGUAACGGUGACAGUAUUUCAGGGACGGUUUCCACAUACGCUUUACGCCAUCGUGGGCUGGGGUGGCCCGGUCGUACUGACCGUCAUCUGGGCCAUCACCACCGCGCACUACAUCCGGCAGCAGAAAUGCUGGUGGGGUUACAACUUGACGCCUUAUUACUGGAUUUUGGAAGGUCCAAGACUAGCAGUAGUCGUGUUGAAUUUUAUAUUUUUACUUAAUAUUAUAAGAGUACUGAUCGUGAAGCUGCGCCAAAGCCACACGAGCGAUGUGGAACAGGUACGGAAAGCGGUCCGUGCAGCGGUCGUCCUUGUGCCAUUGCUAGGAAUUACCAACAUACUCAACAUGACCCAAGCGCCCCUUGAUAAGACGGCACUCGAGUUUGCUAUCUGGUCCUACGUGACACAUUUUCUCACCUCCUUCCAAGGGUUCUUCAUCGCACUGCUCUAUUGCUUCCUGAAUGGCGAGGUACGGACAGCCCUGAUGAAAAGUAUCAGUGUGUAUCUUUCACUUCGCGGCCAUCAUGAUUGGGCGGUACGGAGGCAAUCGCUAUUUUCCGCCGGUUAUCCCACGGUACCGGUCAAUGAGGCACCGCACGCAACAGACACAAAUCGCAACACCAACAGAAAUGCCGCCAGCAACAAUCUGCUGGCAAGUGCCAACAAUCAUACCGCCAACGGUGGCAUGGCCAGCAGCAGCAGCGCGAAUGGUUUCCGUUGUGGCUGGUUUAGCCGCUGCUUUUUAGUACAAAAACAUACCAACCCGUCCGCACCGGAGCCUGCCCCACCCGAGUCAGUUGUAUUCGACAUUUCCGACUAGCAGUCGCCCUUGCUCUUCGUUCUUGUGUUUUGUUCGGUUUUUAGUUCUCUCUUAUCUUAACCAGCGUGUGAUGGCGGCUGUCGGAGCACGUGCGAUGUACACCGAUCCAUGAGACUAUAAGAAACUAGUAAAGCUUUACCUGGCUGACUGUGCGUCAACCGGAAACCGGAACUGCUAUCAGGGUAGCGCACCAAUGCGAACGAUUGGCCCAGCAAUCGGCAGAGAUGAUAAAAGAAAAAAAAACACACACACGCAAAUUAAAGAAAACAACAGCAAACAAAUACGCAUGAUUUUACAUAAAGCUGUCGAUUGUUCUGCGCAAAACUUUAUGUUAAGCUUCGUCACUGUUUUACGAAAGGAAAGGAAACAGCAGCUCCACGCGUAUCAAAUUAUUACGUGCCGUACGAAUCGAAUUUAAGGGAAAGGAGAGAAAGGAAAUGUUAAAUAGAUAGGUUGAAGGCUUUCAAAGAAAUUAUCAAAUAACAGGAAAUGGUAAAAACAUGUUGCUCGCUCGUUUGAUAUACAAAAAUGAUAUAUAAAUGCAUACAUAUACAUACAUAUAUAUAUAUACUAUAUUUUAUCCGGAUAACAAAAGUUGAGGCUGCAGAACAAGAAGCUAUUAAUAAUGUCGAUUGUUUUUUGUCGAUUUCGUAACUGUUGUAACGAUGUAAAAAGGUCGUAAACGGACAAGCGGAGGAAGCUGUAUUCGUGCAAGUAAUGCCAAAACCAGCAGCACAACACUACGUCAAUAUCACCGGCAUCAAUUUGCCGGGCGAUGAACAGUUUAGAUUGAUUUAUGUGUAACACAAAAUGGCAAGCCAAGCGAACGAAUAAAUGCAAUGUUGUCUGUUUUUGUACAAAACAACUAAAA